AAUCUACCUUCAACACUGGGAUAACUCCGGGAAACCGGGGCUAAUACCGGAUACGAGAACCGCAGGCAUCUGUGGCUCUGGAAAGUUUUUCGGUUGAAGAUGACCUCGCGGCCUAUCAGCUUGUUGGUGAGGUAAUGGCUCACCAAGGCGACGACGGGUAGCCGGCCUGAGAGGGCGACCGGCCACACUGGGACUGAGACACGGCCCAGACUCCUACGGGAGGCAGCAGUGGGGAAUAUUGGGCAAUGGAGGGAACUCUGACCCAGCGACGCCGCGUGCGG
rnacentral:rRNA from 1 species